CAGUAGCCGCGGGAAUACGAAGGGGGCUGGCGUUGUUCGGAAUCACUGGGCGUAAAGCGCACGUAGGCGGACACUUAAGUCAGAGGUGAAAUCCCAAGGCUCAACCUUGGAACUGCCUUUGAUACUGGGUGUCUUGAGGUCGAGAGAGGUGAGUGGAACUGCGAGUGUAGAGGUGAAAUUCGUAGAUAUUCGCAAGAACACCAGUGGCGAAGGCGGCUCACUGGCUCGAUUCUGACGCUGAGGUGCGAAAGCGUGGGGAGCAAACAGGAUUAGAGACCCGGGUAGUCCCUGUCUCUUAUAA
rnacentral:rRNA from 1 species